rnacentral:rRNA from 1 species
UACGGGGGGGGCAAGCGUUGUUCGGAAUUACUGGGCGUAAAGGGCGCGUAGGCGGCUUUUCAAGUCGGGCGUGAAAUCUCCAGGCUUAACCUGGAAGGGUCGUUCGAUACUGUUAAGAUAGAGUGUGGAAGAGGCUACUGGAAUUCCGUGUGUAGCGGUGAAAUGCGUAGAUAUCUGGAGGAAUACCGGUGGCGAAGGCGGCAUCCUGGACCGGCAUUGACGCUGAGGAGCGAAAGCCAGGGGAGCAAACGGG